CCCAUAGAUGUUCUGGGCUGCACGCGCGCUACACUGAUGCGCUCAACGAGUUUGCAUCCUUGCCUGGCAAGGUCGGGUAAUCUGUUCAAAAUGCAUCGUGAUGGGGAUAGAUUAUUGCAAUUAUUAAUCUUCAACGAGGAAUUCCUAGUAAGCGCGAGUCAUCAGCUCGUGCUGAUUACGUCCCUGCCCUUUGUACACACCGCCCGUCGCUCCUACCGAUUGAAUGGUCCGGUGAAGCGCUCGGACCGCGGCCUCUUGACGGUUUUCCGUCGAUUGGCUGUGGGAAGUUCGUUAAACCUUAUCAUUUAGAGGAAGGAGAAGUCGUAACA
rnacentral:rRNA from 1 species